GAAAUAAGCUCUCAGCCGGCCUCAAAUAAUUGUAGGAAGUGGGAUGCUCGCCACAGGGCACCUCCUUUGUAAUUUGUGAGGGGAUGAUGACAUUUGAAUGCUAGGAAAUAGGAGCAUCCAAAAAAAAAAACCAACAAUGUUCAUUCCCGAUAUCGAGUCUUGAUUAUUUUUCAGAGGAGUUCAAAGCCCCGUAGAUGUGAUUUGUGGGAUGGAGUCCUCGUAGGGAAUCGUUCUGGGGCUGGCAAGGGGCUGAGCAUCGGACAGCAGUGUUGGAGCUUGCUUCUGGGCUUCAGUGAUGGAAAGGAUUUUCCUGUGGGGUACAGAGCUUUCCCCGGAGAUCUGACGUGCUAACGCAGGAGGAUUCGGCAGCUGGAGCCUCUGAAGGUUUCAUUGAGAGCCAGGAGCCUGAUUCUGCCGCCGUCUCACCCAGGAGCUGGUGUUUUCCAGAGGACGAAGGGGGAGUGAGCCCAACCCCAACCGCACGCGUGCACCCAUCAGCGUUAAGCGUCCCUUGUUUUUAACCUCGAGCAGCUUUGAGGAUGUAGAGUGAAAAAG